UUUUUAUUUUAAAUAUGUCCCAUGCAAUAUUUGGGACAUACUUAUGCUAGAA
rnacentral:pre_miRNA from 1 species